UAUCCUUGACACAAUUCCAUGGCACAUGCUUUCCUCUGUCCCUGAUUUUGAUCUGAUACCCCGUUGCAAUCUACCACCACUGCUUGAUAUAUAAUGCAGUUACUACUGCAGAGCCCCUUCAGAAGAGAUCAUGUGCAGGGACUGACUCUGCUCAGACAGGGCUUAUUCACACAAAACUUCAGGUGCCUGGGACAGAGACAAGCACGAGGAAGGAGCUUCAGUUCAGCAGGGGCAAAAGGACUUCUCAAGGGAACAGAGAACCAUGAAUGUCUGGACUGGAUAGCUGAGGAGAUGGGUGGUGUAGCAUCAAGCAAAUUACUUGUUUACAAGCAAGGAGCAUUCUGGCCUAUACCUGUGGAAGGUAUAGCUCAGGUAGGAUUAUCUGUGUUGUUUCAAGCUCAGUAGAGCUGCAGAGGUCCUUGCCACAGCUCUAGUUAUAGUGCUGCAUUAUCCACACUGUGACUUGUACCACCUAAAGAAAGUGGUAUUUUCAGAGUAGAAAACCUGAUUUGCCCAAUGCUCCUGAAGAACCAAGGAAGGAGCUGCCCUCUGUUCACUGAAACUUGGUGAAACAGGCAUGGGACCAAAUCUGAAUGGCCAGAAAAUUUGCUUGAAAACUGCAGGAUGCAGAAGUUGUAUGCAAGGCACUUAUAAAAUUUGUUCCCCUUUCUGGUGCUGCAUUCACCAUAGCUCUCUGACGGAUGUCCAAAAGCAGGAUGGAAAU